rnacentral:rRNA from 1 species
AGAGUUUGAUCAUGGCUCAGGAUAAACGCUGGCGGCGUGCCUAAUGCAUGCAAGUCGAACGGUGUCUUCGGACACAGUGGCAAACGGGUGAGUAAAACGUGGGAAUCUGCCUUGAAGUGGGGAAUAACUGCUCGAAAGAGUAGCUAAUACCGCAUGUGCUGGAAACAGUAAAGGAGCAAUUCGCUUCAAGAGGAGCCUGCGCCUGAUUAGCUAGUUGGUGGGGUAAAAGCUUACCAAGGCGAUGAUCAGUAGCUGGUCUGAGAGGAUGACCAGCCACACUGGGACUGAGAUACGGCCCAGACUCCUACGGGAGGCAGCAGCAAGGAAUUUUCGGCAAUGGGGGCAACCCUGACCGAGCAACGCCGCGUGGAUGAUGAAGUCUUUCGGGAUGUAAAAUCCUUUUCUCUAGGAAGAAUAAAGACGGUACUAGAGGAAUAAGCAUCGGCUAACUACGUGCCAGCCGCCGCGGUAAUAC